UAAAACGCGCCGAGCGGCCGGACCAAGGAUGCAGCGACCCUGAUCAGGCACAGACUGGAAGGCUGGAACAGGAAACCUCCUGUGCUCCUGUAUAAAUCAAUACUCUACAAGCUAAAGGAGUCAGAUUGUCAGGAAAAGGAGUACCCUGGCAUAGAAAAUCAGGAUGACUCCAUAGACUCAAUCUGUUGGAUUUGCAAUACUUCUGUGUUUGAAUUGUGAUGGAGUUUACACACUGAGUUUCCUUUCAGCUUCUCUCCUGGCCAUGUUGUGGUGUGACCAUGGUGGAUUGACCCUGGAUGAAUGCCCAACAAAACUACUCUGCCACCUCCCUCCUCAGCUGGAAAGGGGAGAGAAAAUAUACCAAAAGGCUUCUGCAAAAGGUUGAGGUAAGGACAGGGAGGGAUCACUCAGCAAUUACUGUCACAGGCAAGACAGACUUGGGGAAAAUAAUUCAAUGUAUUACCAAUCAAAUCAGAAUAGGAUGAUGAAAACUUAAAUUUAAUCUUAAAACACCUUCCCCCUACCCUUCUUAAUGGGUUUAACUUUAUUCCUGAAUUCUUUACCUCCUCUUCUCCCACAGCAGAGCAGGGAUGUGGGCAAUGGGGGCCGUGGGUCUGUCUUGGAGCUGGCUGGCCUUGGAUCUGUAGGACACAGGGGAGGCUUCUCAGAAGCCAGCCUUUAGCCCUGCCUGCCCUGCCACUGACAAAACCUUGGCAUGCAAAUCCAGUGGAGUGACAUUGCUGCUGAGACCAGCUUCCCACAGGUGCCUCUCACAGGUGCAACCCAGCUUUUGCUCUCUCAGGGAAUUCUGUUCUCCUCCUUCCAUUCUUUCUUCACCACAUAAUUUAGAAUUAUGAACUCCAGUUUGACAGCAGAGCCUGGAUCCUCUUUAUUCUUUCUAGCAUGCAGUGAUAUAGUUUCCAUCUUGUACUUGAGGGAUGACAUACAAACUAAAUUUACCAAACAAAAGUAGUCCAGCAGAUGUAAAAGAACUGAAAUCACCAGUUCAUUAUUCACUGCACAGAGGCAGUCACUGGCUCUGCAUGUGAUAAACAGAGUGACUUAGUUUAAUAAAGUACACAAGCUUUGAGUUGAGGACCAUUUUAGUCCAAAAUGCUACAAAUAUUAGGGCCAAUUCUUAAAAAAUAUUGUUUACUAGAAAACUUGGGCAGGAAGAAAUUUACAAAAAGAAAAAAAAAAUAUUUAUAUUUUUUAAAAAUAUAAUUUAUCCAUUACUUCUCUCAUCUUAGAACUUGUGUGUGGUAAAAUUUAGAGAACAAUUCUAUCAAUAAAUUCAACUUUUUCUAUAUGUCAUGAUAAAAAACGAGUGGAUUUUUCAAACUAAAUAAAAGGACAAUGGUCUUACUCACAAGGGCUAUAAAGAACUGUGGGUGGUUUGGUAAGAACAUUAUACAUUUUUUUUUUAAAUCAGAUUUGCUGUAAUAGCUUUGCAAGGUAUCUGUCUACUUGCAGGACUAAAGCAGGGAAUAGUACACUUAGCAGGAGCUUCAUCUUGACUUGUUGAUUCCAGCACUGAAAAUACUGGAUUGUGAAUUCAUCUGUGCAUAUUAGCACAGGGAACAUCAGAGCCUCAAGUAUUUUUUGGAACUAAGGAAAACAAAGAACAGAAUUGUCCUUCCUGCCUAUUUCCUAUUUUCCCCUUCCCCUCUCCCCACUCAAAGGUAAGUGUCCAAAAUUCUAUGAAGGUCUCUGUAUCCAUCUGCAGCAGGGAAAGAUCUUUACUUUCUUGACUGUUUACUCUUUCCCAACUGCAUUUCCUUACAAUCUGUGAGGCCAGAAGAAAGACAAUAUCAACAUGUUUGAUAUUAAAUUCCCAGUGUGCCACUUCUUCCCUUACAUCUCUAGGUGGCUUUGGCUAGCUUGGCAAUGGUUAAACACCAUGAACUCUCAAAUUUGCUUUAAAUAAUUAUACACUGGAAGGGUUACAUCAAGAGGUGAAUGCCUAUAAUUUGUGCUGUGCCAGUAGCUUUCAAUUAAAUCUCAAUUUGAUCUCUUGGAGCAUCCUGGCCCAAAUUUGCAGCUAAUUCUACCUCGGUCUUCAGAAUUUAAUCAAGUAUUUAGGAUUGAAGAAAGUAAUUUCUUAGGUGCUGCAAUGACUUUGUAAUCUCCCACAAUGAGAUGCUGCAAUGAUAAACAUGAACAAAACUAAAAACACAUUUGGGGUGGGAUGUCUGAGGGGGAGUCAUAGAUCAUAUAUAUGUUCAUUCUGUAUUUGAACUACAGCAGGUGAAGGGGAACACCUGUCCUUUUUGGAAAGACUGACAGAAUUGGAAAUACAUUGAUGUUUAUGUAAAGCAGCUAGUGAAGAUCAAUUAAGGUGCAAAAAAGAAACCUCCACAAGAUUAAAAACUUUGUUAAAAAAUAGUAAAGAUGAAAUGGUAGAAAGGCAUUUCAAGAUUGCAGUAGAUAAUUCUGAAUUUUUAAUGCCUCACAGGAUUGGAAUCAGUAUUUUUCCCUCUUAACUGAGGGUCAAUAGAAAUGUCAGCCACUGAGGACUGUGGGAAUAACUAAUUUAACUUGUGAAACUAUGAUAUGCAGUCUUGUCUGGACCCUGCCUUCCCUGAGCAAAAGAAAACAGUAUUUCUGUACACCUUAUAUUUCCUUUAUCCUGACUAGCAAGAUGCAACAAGACAAUCUGAGGUGGCAAUGUGAAAUCAUGGCAUUUGUACCUGUGUGGCCUGGACUUGUGCUGCUUGCUUCUGUUUGUGAAGUGUUCUUCACAUCAAAAACGAGCACCACCCAACCCUUGGGAUUGCUGAGAAUCUCAGUGUGUGAUGAAUGCACGAGCACUUCUCUGAUUGUCUCUCUGUGAAAUACAUUGAAAUAUCACAGCUAAACGAGGGGCUCUUUCCCAACCAAUUUGCUGACAGCAUGAAACUUGGUGCUAACAAGAGUUUUGCAAUUUGAAUGAGUUUUAAUCAACCCUAAAUGGAGAGUUUCUCUGUGUGCUGAAGUUAUUAGUCACAUUCCCUCUGAUUCCAAUGAUUCAGGGUCAUACUAUAAAGGUGCUAUGUUACUUCUGAAGUACAGAGAAAUAAACAAGAAGUUGCUGCUGCUGUCUAUCAGGUCCUGGUUUGCCAUUCAUUUGGAUCCAUUUCUUCUUACAAACACAUGUAUACACUUCAUUUUGAGCCUACAAUGUUUUCCAGCUAAUGGGAUACUUCUCAUAAGGAUUAUAGCAGUGGCCAAGCUCUAAAUUAAAUUAAAAUAAACACUGAACACACUUAUCUAUUUGCUCUUGGGUGUCAUUAACACAAGGUUAGGAAGGAUAUUUUUCCCACUGGAAGUAUAUUUAUUGCCUUACUCAACUCCUUAGGCAGGGAAGUUGUUUAUUCAGCAAUUAUAACUCCCCUUUGUUAUGUUUUCUUUUGGUUACUCUAUUCACCUCCCAUUAUCCCUUGUUUUGAAAACAUUUCCUGCAAGAAAUAUCCUGUCUUUAUCUGUUUCAGUUUAAGUUUCUACUCUGCUCCAGCUCUUGUUCCACUGAACUUCAGAUAUGUUGGGAUAUUAAGUAGAUAUCAGGCAAGACGACCUUUGGUCAAAACCAGGAAUCUGCUCAAAGUACCAGAAAUGUCUUGGGACUGCACAGACCUCCAAAGUGUGUGUGUGAGAGACCUGAUUUUCCAGUCAGCUUUGAGGUAUUCCUCACAGAAGGAAGGAUAAGUAAGACAUUUGGUUGAAACCCAGGGGAUGAAGUAGUGGCUGUGGGCUUCAUGGCUGCACUUUUCCUACACAGAUCCAUCUUCAACAUCUUGUCUACAAAUACAAACUCUGAGUAAUCAAGGGAGACAGGCAAUGAAAGGCCUCAGUCCAUGUCAUUGUGAUUUGGAGAGCUGAGAGGUUAUCUGAGCCACAGAACUGCAGGAUGCUCAGGUUGUAAGGGACAUCAGUGGAUCUAUUCCCACCUCCCUGCUCAAGAAGGGUCAUCCCAGAGCCCAUGGCACAGGACUGAGUCCAUUUGGUUCUUGAACCUUGCACUUGCCUUUGCUGCACUCUGUUCAGCCCCUCUUUGCCCAUCUCUCCAACCUGCUGAGGUCCUUCUGAAGGGUUGCACAGCACUCUGGGCUGUUGGCCACUGCUCCCAGCUUUGUGUCACCAGGGACCUUGCUGAGGAGGCAUCUACCCAGUCACCCAAGUCAUUCAUGAACAAGUUAAACUGUUCUGGGCCCAAGCUAAAGAAGUGCCUCUUUUUCUAAAAUUAAAUCUGAGAUCAGGAUUCCAUUUCUCAUCUCUCUGUGUACCAGCAAAGGGACUCUAAAUAAUAUCUGCAAUAAAUGCAGCUCAUAUUAUGAUCAUUACAUCCAGAGGGUUUGCUUUUCACUUAGCAUCUUUCCUCUCCCCAGAAAAAGACACUGAAGCUCUUUUCAAAAUCAUAUAUGAUAUGGAACUUUUUAAAUGCAGAAUUAACUGUUCCUAGUGAUAUCUCCCAGUGCAGACAUCCCCCCAUCCAGAGACACUUCAAUGAGCACAUCCUACAGGAAUUAUGUAAAAGACUCUUCUAAAGGAGGGAUGUGUUUGGGGUCUCCUGCUGACAUUGCUCCAUUUUAUUAAAAUCCUCAUAUUCCCCUAGAAAAAUAGGCUAGAAUGCAGGUGUCUGGCUUCUCAGAAGAAUGAACUUGACACAAGGAUGCUCAGAUGUCAUUCUUCCUCAGUUCUUCCCACUAGUGCUGUUCUACUUUGCAUUUAAUGUUCAAAAGUCUUUGGAGACAAAGUGAAUUGGUGCUUAGCAGGGUAAUCAGGACAUGUGCUCUAGAAGUGGGACACCUGGGUUUUUUUUUUAUUUCAAUGUUAGUGAACAUUUAAUUUGCAGAGAGUAGGACACCAGCCAUAGGGGAAACCAAAAAGGAUAACAAUCUUCCCAGAAGUGCACAAAAUACAACAUAGUGGGAAUGCAGACAGGAGGCUUGAGAUGUUUCCUUCAUCUCCCUGAUGGAAAUUUGAACUCACUAUUUCUUUCAGCAGGGUGACUGUCUUUACCUGCAGACCAUGAUGAAUCAAGACUUCAUUUGGCUUUCAUUUUUGCAAGUAUCUUAGUGAUUAUUUUUUUUCUUUGCAGAGCGGUUACAUAGUUCAGAUUUUCUUCAAUGGGAAACAACAAACCCAAACUAAAAUGCAGGUUUUACAACUCUGUCUUCUCUCCCUUCCCCUUUCUCAGUUCAGCAGCCACACCAAAAGGUCCCUACUUUGAGCAGGCUCUAAUCGUCAUGAUUAGAUUCCCAAAGAAUGGCUAAAGAGUUCCUGGAAAUCAUUUCUAAAAUCACCACUGCCACUAAGGACUAAUUCCAUUUUUAUAGCUCUACAUACAUCCUGAGCAGCAGGGUUUGUUUCGGUGUUUGUGUGUGAGCACAGCCUUAAUGCAGGUCCCACAUAUUUGUGAUCUCCCCUGUGAGCUGCAAGGAUGGGUUCCUUCACCUGAAAGCACACAUAGGUAGGCAUUCUUCACAUGUGAAAUGUCAAUUUAUGACUACUAGAGAGGCAUAUUUAUUGUUUGCAUGCAUUUUCCUAACCUCCCUCCUCACCGUUCUUAUCUGCAAGCAAAAUCAUUCAAAAGAUAAGAAAAAAAUGUCAAAAAUGCAAUAUAUUUUUUUUCAGAAUUGUUCAUUGUUAUCUGAAAAUGCAACUCCUGAUGUACAUAUUGGAGUUAAGUGAUGAUAAAACCUUGGGCAAAAUAAAAAUAAAAAAAAUUAAAAGAGAUGAAAAGAAAAUAAUCAUACUGACAUUUCCUGGAAAAUUGAAUGUUCUUUUUGUGCAAACAUUGAAGACUGGUUUCAUUACUGAGUGUCAAGAGUUCACUCAAUAGCAAAAGCUCCUGUGUGUCACUCAAUCUACACUUCAGCAUUUUUCCAACAGGAACUUGCUUUGUGUAGGGGAUAAAGUACUGGGGUAGGUGUAAUGUUAAAUGAAUAAUGAACUUAUGAGACAGCUGUUAAGGUAUUAUAACACCUUUUUAAUUACAUGGGCAAUAGGAUCAUGGUAUGCCUGCUGAAACUUAAAAAAGCACUACCUCUUGACAAAUUCUAAAAUAUUUCACUGCCAAUCAAACACUGGACUGCAGCACCCAAGUCUGCAAAAACAUCGUGGUCAUUUUGUUCUCCCCAUUUAUGAUGUUAUCUUCACUUUAGGUCUGAAAAGCAGUUGUCAGACAAGUUGACAAUUUGGCAUUACAGCCUCAAUUCUGAAGUCUGGGAGAUCAAUCUCCAAGCUCCAUUAACUUCAAAUUCUUGGAAGACUAUAAUUACAUGAGUGUUAGUUUUGCCUUGAAAGCCAGAAUGAAGACUUCAUGGCUUGAGUGGAGGAGAGGAAAACCUUUUUCACAUUUCUGCUCUUAGUUUCCUAUGUGUCUUUAGUCAACUUACUGCUCUUGGGAGUUGUGUCUCAAUUCAUUACCUGUGGUCUUCUGCAGUGAAUAUUGAAAUCUGUGUAUGAAAAACAUUCCAGGAAACAUCCUCUUACCACCUCUACCAUUUGUUACUUUUCUGCCUCACUGCUUACAAUCACCUUUGACACAGCAUUACUCACAAUGGACUCAAAAGAUUUGUAAACAAUUUUCCAAGUUAUUAUGUUCAUUAAGUCUUUGUCAUAGAUUUAUAUGCAAUGAAAGCUGGUUUUGUUAUGGCAUAGGAAUAUAUCUGACUCAAAUACAGCCUAACUAUUUUGCAGUUCCACCUGUAGGCACUACUCAAUCAUCUUUUUUAUUAUUUUCAGGGCCCUGAGUUUCAGAAAAGUAAAUGGCUUAUUGAGAGGUGAAUUAAAAAGCACUGAAAGUAGAGGAAUGAAGGCAAUUUCCAAACAGGAUAGGAAUUAGCCAGCACAUGAAACUAUUUGCCAAAUAAAUAAAGGUCAACAUGAAUGUCUUGAUGUUUGAAUAGAUGUGGAAAAAUAAUUUCAACCAAAAAAACCCAAAGCCAAGUGUUUUGUGUGGAAUGAGAUGUUCCUAUUAGCAGAAAUAACCUGUUCUUCACACUUUUCUGCUCACCACUGUCAGUAACAGAUAUGUGCUCUUCAGUGGAAAACAUGUUUCAAGCCAGCCAAGAGUAGAGCCAGCCUGACUAAUGUACUACCUAGCACCCCAAAACAUUUGAAACACACAUCUGAUAUAAAACAGAGUGCCAUCAGGGUGUUUAAAAUCCUACUGAAUUAAUAAUAAAUAGGUCCCUUGCAUAAAAGCUUCAGCUUGACAUUCACUUGUGAUCUGAGUUUGAGUCUUUUCUACCACAUCUUCACCAUUCUUUUUCUGUACCAGCCAGGUUUUGAAGCACAUCCAGGGUUUGGUAGCAAAUGGAGAUGCUUGGGUGGCUCCCGCUCUCCUGUGUGAGCUGUUUGCUCACACAGGCACUCUCAGGUGUGUCAGCAAGAGCUGGAACUUUUUUAGCAUUUUCAAAUAUUCCAGAUUCUUCAGUUAUGAGACUUGUGAAAUUUGAUAUCCAAUUUGGGCUUUUCAGGCUGGAGAAUAUCAGUGUGAAAACACUGAGCCUACCAAACACAGGGAGGAUUUUUUCUUUUCCCAGCAAACAUUUAUGUUGUGCUUUCAAAGGGGAAAUUCAUGGUAGCAUUUCAAACAAAGUCAUAAUACAUUCUAAGCACCUGUUCCAAAUCUAUCAGAACAUCACUUUAAAAAUGUCUAUUGGCUUUCAUGAAACUGGAAAAUUAUUCUGUGUUUUCACAGACCUGUUAUACUGAUGAGCUUUUAUUUUACACCUUAAAACUCAUUAUGAACAAGAAUUAAACCUAUAACUGUUUGCUUCUCCCCCAAAAAGUACACUGCUGUUAUUCUAUAUAUAAUCUUUCCUUUUCUACUAUGAACCACUUUGAAAUAUCAGUGACUGUUCUGGCUGUUCCACAAGACUGUAAAAAGUAAAACAGUAGGAAAGUAGCAGGGUGGGCAAACAUAAUGCCUAAGAGAGGGAUGAGUAAUUAAAAUAAAACUUGUGCGUUGCGUUAUGUUAGCCUAACAGUGCUACUUUGUCUUUUUAUUCUAUUGGCAUUUAGAGGGAAAAAGGAAAUUCUAAGCAGUACUAAACUAAACAUAGUUCAUGAAUACAAAGUGUUUCUGCCAACAAAGCAGAGAUUGCAGUUUAUAGAAUGCAAAUGAAAAAUUGUUACAAAAUUCUAUUUUUCAUUAAUCUGGAAGGCUUUAGUAUAUCUGUGGGGAUUAUCUAAGUCUACGUUGUGUUGACACGGGUUUUCCGUCUCUCCUAACCAUUUUUUUUUUUUUGGUUUCUGAGAUAUGUAAGUAAGAGAUUUACCUGGUUCAAACAAACAAA